CGGAGCAGGAGCAGGAGCAGGAGCAGUGCUUGGAGGCUGUAGCCGGAGAGGUGGGAUGUGGGAAAGAGACCAGCAGGGAGGGGGCCGCUCACCUGCAGGUGGGCACAGCGGGAAACAUGAGUGAGGGGCUCUUUCUUCCCUUUCGUUCCAGAGGGUCUGAGAACGAGGAGGAGCAGUGCCCGUGGAUGGCAGAGCAGACCUCGCCUGGGCCAGGUCUGGGCUCUGCUGCCACAACCCAGCCUUCCGCCAGCGGCAGCUCCAGAUAAAGAAUGCAGAGUAUGUGCUUCAGUGUCACAAACUGUGCCUGGCCACCAUCCAUCAUCCUGUCAAGACAUCACUCCAGACAGCCUGGCUUCAAGCAGAACCAGAUCCAGGAGCCAGCUGAGGCCAGCACAGUUCUCUCCCCUGUGAAUGUGACAAUUGGCCUGGGUCCUGAUUCCCCACAUCCUGCUGCCUAACGUGAUGCACCCAUCAUCUCCAACCAAGAGACAGGGAUCAGAGAUUCAACAUGUCAGCAAACUACAACUCACCCGCAUGCAAGCCAGCUGUCCAAUGGGAAUUCUUCUGAUGGAGCGAUGGGGUGGACUGAGGUUUUAUACUUGCUUCCUCCAGUGAUGCAGAGCACUAUUUCCAAACCCAAGUAGUCCUCUGGCUCCCAAAAUGAGGGAGAAGAGAGGAGGAGAAGGAGGAGCUAAGCUGCACCCAUUGUCAGUGAGCACAGGUGCAGGAGAGAGGGGGUGCCAGACACAUCUCCACCUCCAUCCCUGGAUCUGUGAUUGACAGGUACUCGUAUAAUUCAUACAGGCCAAAGGGGAAUAUCAGCCCCCUAAAGACACUCAUGUUCUAAUCCCUAGAACCUGUGAAUGUUAACCUUAUAUGGCAAGAAAAGGAUUUUAUAGAUGUGAUUAAGUUUAAGUUCUAAAAAUGGAGAGGUUAUCCUGGAUUAUCUGAGUGGGCCCCAUCUGCAAUCACGAGACCGAGGCAGAGGCAGAUCUGACCCCAGACAGAAGAGGAGAAUGCAGCAGCGCCCGCAGAGGCAGAGGCUGGAAUGGAGCAGCCCCAAGGCAAAGCAUGCUGGCCACCAUCAGAAGCCGGAGUACGUGAGGCACAGAUGCUUCCAGGGAGCCUCCAGGGGAGCACAGCCCUGCUGAUACCUUGAUUUGGGCAUUAAGACUUAUUUUGGACUUUCGGCCUCUAGAACUGUGACAGAAUACGUUUCUGUUUUUUACACACUUUGUGUGUAAGACUGUGUUACCGCAGUUGCAGGAAACUCACACCAGGGACUAGAGCAGCACUGUGGUGACCACUGGUGCUGGCAGAUCUGUCAAGUGGACCAGGCCCUGGUUCCAGAAGUGAGGUCCUCAUGCAGAGGAGAGGACUGCACACCUGGAAGGGAGGUGGUGAUUAGGUAAUGAACAGUUCUUCCAUUCCUGUACCAAUUGAACAAGGCAGUCCCCUCUCUCCUAUUCACCCUCAUCCAGCCUCCUCCCCACCAACCCCAUCUACCUCCCUAGAGGGCACUUGCAUUCACCUUGCCACUGCUCUGGUGUAUUUGUUUUUGCACUGCUAUAAAUAAAUACCUGAGCCUGGGUAAUUUAUAAAGACAAGAGGUUGAAUUGGCUCAUGGUCCUGCAGGCUGUACAGGAAGCAUGGCGGCAUCUGCUUCCGGGGAGUCCUCAGGGAGCUUUUACUCAUGGUGGAAGCCAAAGUGGGAGCAGGCAUCUUACAUGGUAGGUGC
rnacentral:lncRNA from 10 species